AAAUUGAAGAGUUUGAUCAUGGCUCAGAUUGAACGCUGGCGGCAGGCCUAACACAUGCAAGUCGAACGGUAGCACAGAGAGCUUGCUCUCGGGUGACGAGUGGCGGACGGGUGAGUAAUGUCUGGGAAACUGCCUGAUGGAGGGGGAUAACUACUGGAAACGGUAGCUAAUACCGCAUAACGUCGCAAGACCAAAGAGGGGGACCUUCGGGCCUCUUGCCAUCAGAUGUGCCCAGAUGGGAUUAGCUAGUAGGUGGGGUAACGGCUCACCUAGGCGACGAUCCCUAGCUGGUCUGAGAGGAUGACCAGCCACACUGGAACUGAGACACGGUCCAGACUCCUACGGGAGGCAGCAGUGGGGAAUAUUGCACAAUGGGCGCAAGCCUGAUGCAGCCAUGCCGCGUGUAUGAAGAAGGCCUUCGGGUUGUAAAGUACUUUCAGCGGGGAGG
rnacentral:rRNA from 3 species